rnacentral:rRNA from 1 species
AUUGAACGCUGGCGGCAUGCUUUACACAUGCAAGUCGGACGGCAGCGGGGUAGUGCUUGCACUACUGCCGGCGAGUGGCGAACGGGUGAGUAAUAUAUUGGAACGUACCGAGUAAUGGGGGAUAACCAAUCGAAAGAUUGGCUAAUACCGCAUACGCUCUGAGGAGGAAAGCAGGGGACCUUCGGGCCUUGCGUUAUUCGAGCGGCCAAUAUCUGAUUAGCUAGUUGGUGGGGUAAGGGCCUACCAAGGCGACGAUCAGUAGCGGGUCUGAGAGGAUGAUCCGCAACACUGGGACUGAGACACGGCCCAGACUCCUACGGGAGGCAGCAGUGGGGAAUUUUGGACAAUGGGCGCAAGCCGGAUCCAGCCAUGCCGCGUGUCUGAAGAAGGCCUUCGGGUUGUAAAGGACUUUUGUUAGGGAAGAAAAAGGAGCGGUUAAUACCCGUUUCUGCUGACGGUACCUAAAGAAUAAGCACCGGCUAACUACGUG